AACCAUUCUCACCUGCGGCUAGACCUGCGGAAGGAUCAUUACAGAGUUGCAAAACUCCCCAAACCAUUGUGAACCUUACCUUCAAACGUUGCUUCGGCGGGCGGGCCACAGCGCCCCCCGGGCCCCCCCAGCGGGGGCGCCCGCCGGAGGAUACCCAAACUCUUGAUACUUUAUGGCCUCUCUGAGUCUUCUGUACUGAAUAAGUCAAAACUUUCAACAAUGGAUCUCAGAUCGGAAGAG
rnacentral:misc_RNA from 1 species